rfam:Lactobacillus salivarius TCC118, complete genome.
GACUAGCACAAGGGGAGCCUUUUUGGCUGAGAGUGAAGUUAUUCAGACCCUUUGAACCUGUUCGUUAAUGCGAGCGUAGGAAUGUGUAGUAAAUCAGAU